GGGAUGGGUGGGGGUAAUGGGGAAACUGGGGAAACUGGGGAAGCGGGGGAGCCGAGGGGUAACCAGGGAAGCGUGGAGUACUCGGGGGCAACCAGGGGAAGAUGUGGGCAGGAGGUCAGGGAAGUCUGUGGGCCAAGGAUCACCUUGGAAGCCUGGAGUCUGGCAGGAAAGAUGAAGAGGGGCUAGCUCAGGCAGCACUUGGCCAGCCCAGCGGCUGGAGCACAUGUGGUCUCCAGGGUAACAUCAGGGCUGGGAGUGCCAGGGCGCCUGAGCUAGGGUUAGACAGCAGAAGGGGGAGCCAGACAUUCAUCCCGGUCAUUUUUGGUUACAGGACGUGGCGGCUGGUUGGACAAAGGGGAGCUGGUUGAGGGUCCAAGUCCGGGCCUGGGGUGUGGAGGUGGUGCCUGCCGGGCCAGCGGGCUCUUCUCUCUCUGGUCCUCGGUCCACUGGUCUUCUGGAAGAAGGAGGACGAGGGUGCCGAGGGCCGGCGAGAGGACGUGGCCAGCCUCCCGGUAGAGCAGCGGGCAAGGCCAGGUGGUAGCACAGGUGACAUCUUCUCGGGGGGAGCCGAGAGGGGCAGGCUGGGGGGCUAGGUGGCCGCCCCAGGUGGAAAGGGUACUUUAGAGGGCAGGAUGGGCUGCAGCCCCCAGGGAGGUGACAGGUGCCCUGGGGAUGGCAGUGCAGCAAGAAGCAGGGAUCCAGCAAGUGCGGGAGCAGGCGGGCCCGGGCUGGACAGUAGAAAGGGGACGAAGGGCACAGCGGGGUCCCCAGCCGUCACAGCAUCUCACCCACUGCAUUCACUCAAGUGGCAGGAUCAGGAGUGGCUCUGUGGUGGGCAAGGCCUGCUCAGAGCAUCUGAGGGCAGGAGAGCGAGACAGAGGGCGCAGUGCGCAGGGACACCUGCAAAAUGGCACCACCGGGAGGGAGGGUCGCCUGGGUGCUGGGCUCCAGCACACCCGGCCAAUGCUCUCCACGCGGCACUGCGGCCCAGGGGCUGGUGCGGGAAGGGCCCACAGUGUGCUUGGUGACACUGUAUGCCUUAACCGCCCAGUCCCUGGGGCUGGCAUGAAGACAGUGCAGUUCCAGGGGAGUCAAGGGCACGAGCGAGGCCAGGCUAGGUGAGGCGGGCGGGGCGGAGUGAUUGUGAGCUCUCGGGGGAGGGGGCGUAGAGCAUGGCAGGGCAGGAGCAGAGCUGGCGGGCACAGCGGGCACGGCCUGCGCGCCAGGGCCAAGGCGGGCCUUGGCAGGGACAGAGCAAGACCGGCCGCCGUGUGUAGACUGGAGACGAGGCCAGGUCUCCAGCGGGUGGACACAACAGCCAGCCACCAUGGAAGGCCAGGCCCCACGUCCGGCAGAUGUGCUGAGAAGGACAUGACAUGGUCCGGUGUGACGACGAGUAAAGGAAGUAUGGUCUGGCCUUCCUGGCAGGACAUUCUCGGCUGGCACCAUGGGGCGUGCUGCAACACCAGGUUCCUUUACUUUCCGGAAGGAGUCAACACUCUACUGCUGCUCUCUGGACCCCAGAACCCUCAAAAUGACAAGAAAUGGUGCUACCCAGCUCAUGUCUGGGCCUGGAACCCGGGGACUUCAAGUCCGUCUAGCUCUGACUCGAGAAUAUGCUGCAUUCGGGAACCAGUACUUCACACGGACUCAGGAACAGGCUCUGAAAGGUUAACAGGAAGGAACCCAUCGACCACCACCAUCGACCACCAGCAUCAAUGGGAGCAGCACCACACCGCCACCCCACCCACCAGCAACUCCAUCUUCAUGGCCACACCCUGCCGUGCUCAGGCGACCACCAGCCUCCGUCCUCCCGGCUGGUGCUCCUCCAGCCGGGAUGACCCAUCACCCCCCUCCUCCUUUUCCUUCUUUCUCUGCCUCUUCUCAUUUCCCUUCUUUCUUCUCUUUCCUUGCGCAGGGGACUCAGCCUCCCUGACUCUGCUUCCCCAACCCCAAAUCAUUUGCACUAAGUCGUUUGCACUGGUCUGGAGUCCUGGACGCCGAGUCUCCUGUGCGUGUGUGAGGGCCACGCGUGUGUCGCCAUGGGCGCCCCCGGCCGCCUAUCAUUCAUCUCAGGGGGCGCCUGGGCAGUGUGUCAGGGGUCCCGCCCUCCCCUCCCUAGUCUGGAAGCUCCACAAGAUCAGGAGCAAAUCCUAUAUGUUCCAUUGUACUCGCUCGCUCGUGUCCCUCCCCAUGAGUCGGGCUUCACCAGAAGCCCGGCUCUUCAAUAAACACAGUUACAGCAGCA